CUGUGUCUGAGUCUCUAAAAGACUUGGUUUAACCAGAGAGUAGUGCAGUGCUACUUGGUAGUCUGGUAGCUAAGGAGAGUGAAGAGAUGGUUCUCAAAGUCACUUAAGAACCUUCAGUGUGGACACUUGCCUGAAGGCUCUUCUUCAGUCAAGUGUCCAUACUGAAGGUUCCUAAAUUACCAGCAAAGAAACUACACAAAGACACAAUCCUGCUUACCAAAGAAACAUCUGAAUUAUCAAUUUGGAAAUAGGAAAUAGGUAGAGGAAAACAGGAAACUUUGUGGAGGGGGGAAAAGCUCUGGGGAGUGUGUGAUUACACUGAGGUAUGUUUCUUUUCUUUCUUUUUUCUUUUUCUUCUUUUUUUUUCUUUUUUUUUUUUUUUUGAGACAGGGUCUCACUCUGUUACCCAGACUUGUGUGCAGUGCCACAGUCAUGACUCACUGCAACCUUUGCCUCCCAGGCUCAAGUGAUCCUCCCACCUCGGCCUCCCAAGUAACUGGGACCACCACACCUGGCUAAAUUUUUUUGUAUUUGUUUGUAGAGAUGGGGUUUUGCCAUGUUGCCCAGGCUGGUCUUGAACUCCUGAGCUCAAGCUAUCUGCCCACCUCGGCCUCCCAAAGUGCU
rnacentral:lncRNA from 1 species